AUCCUUAUCUUUGCUGGUAUUGAACUCGACACAGUACGGAUGGAGGCCCGACUACCUCAAGACAAAAUUGGAAAAUGCCAUUCCCUCGUUUCAUCAUUUCUAACACAGAAAAAAUUGCAGUUGAAAGCUACAAUCUUUGAUUGGGCUAUUAAAUUUUGCUGGUUCUGUUAUUGUCCCGGGUCGGGCUUUCCUCCGUCGUCUCAUUGACCUCACAAAAGGUGUUAGAUCAGCCAAACAUUUUAUUCGGCUGAGAAACUGGGUUAAAGGGGAUUUAAGUCUCUGGAAAUCCUUUCUGGAUGAUUUUAAUGGCCGC
rnacentral:lncRNA from 1 species